AGAACGAACGCUGGCGGCGUGGAUAAGACAUGCAAGUCGAACGGGAUUACUUUUGUAGCAAUACAGAAGUAAUUCAGUGGCGAACGGGUGCGUAACACGUGGGCAAUCUGCCGAAAAGUGGGGGAUAGCUCGCCGAAAGGCGAAUUAAUACCGCAUGUGGUGAGGGACGACAUCAUCCUGAAUCCAAAGCCGGGGUCAAACCUGGCGCUUUUUGAGGAGCCCGCGGCCUAUCAGCUUGUUGGUGAGGUAACGGCCCACCAAGGCUUUGACGGGUAGCUGGUCUGAGAGGACGACCAGUCACACUGGAACUGAGACACGGUCCAGACACCUACGGGUGCAGCAGUCGAGUAACUUUU
rnacentral:rRNA from 1 species